CAGCCGCCGCGGGAAUACGUAGGGUCCGAGCGUUGUCCGGAAUUACUGGGCGUAAAGAGCUCGUAGGUGGUUUGUCGCGUUGUUCGUGAAAACUCACAACUCAAUUGUGGGCGUGCGGGCGAUACGGGCAGACUGGAGUACUGCAGGGGAGACUGGAAUUCCUGGUGUAGCGGUGGAAUGCGCAGAUAUCAGGAGGAACACCGGUGGCGAAGGCGGGUCUCUGGGCAGUAACUGACGCUGAGGAGCGAAAGCGUGGGGAGCGAACAGGAUUAGAUACCCCCGUAGUCCCUGUCUCUUAUAA
rnacentral:rRNA from 1 species